GUCCCGCAACGAGCGCAACCCUUGUCUCUAGUUGCCAGCGGUUCGCGCCGGGCACUCUAGUGAGACUGCCGGUGUUAAACCGGAGGAAGGUGGGGAUGACGUCAAGUCCUCAUGGCCCUUAUGCCCAGGGCUACACACGUACUACAAUGGCGACCACAAAGGGCUGCGAGACCGCGAGGUUAAGCCAAUCCCAAAACUGUCGCCUCAGUUCAGAUUGGAGUCUGCAACUCGACUCCAUGAAGUUGGAAUCGCUAGUAAUCGCAGAUCAGCAGGCUGCGGUGAAUACGUUCCCGGGCCUUGUACACACCGCCCGUCACACCAUGGAAGUCGGAUGCUCCAGAAGUGGUCUGA
rnacentral:rRNA from 1 species